rnacentral:tRNA from 1 species
GGCGGGAUAGCUCAGUGGUAGAGCAAGGCAAUCAUAAUGCUUGGGUCGGGGGUUCAAAUCCCUCUCCCGCUACCA